AGGGUUAGGACGAAAUCGAUUUGGGGUUUAGGGUUCGGAUGAGAUCGAUUUGGGGCUUAGGGUUCGAACGAAUUCGAUUUGGGGUUUAGGGUUCGGACGAGAUCGAUUUGGGCCUUAGGGUUCGGACGAAUUCGAUUUGGGGUUUAGGGUUCGGACGAGAUCGAUUUGGAGCUUAGGGUUUGGACGAAUUCGAUUUGGGGCUUAG
rnacentral:lncRNA from 1 species